UACGUAGGGCGCAAGCGUUGUCCGGAAUUAUUGGGCGUAAAGAGCUCGUAGGCGGUUUGUCGCGUCUGCUGUGAAAACUGGAGGCUCAACCUCCAGCCUGCAGUGGGUACGGGCAGACUAGAGUACUGCAGGGGAGACUGGAAUUCCUGGUGUAGCGGUGAAAUGCGCAGAUAUCAGGAGGAACACCGAUGGCGAAGGCAGGUCUCUGGGCAUUAACUGACGCUGAGGAGCGAAAGCAUGGGGAGCGAACAGG
rnacentral:rRNA from 1 species